rnacentral:miRNA from 1 species
GCAGACACAUUCCAGCCAAUCAGCAGCAGACCCUCCCUCCCAGACCCUCCCACCUCCUGGACAGCAUCCAUUUUGAAGCUGCAUUCUUAGUGAGCUGUCCAGGAGGUAGGAGGGUCUGGGAGGGAGGGUCUGCUGCUGAUUGGCUGGAAUGUGUCUG